CGGAUAUAGUGUAACAGCUCAUAUCUGAGUUAUGGCGCUGCUGCUCUGUGUGAUCGGUGUGCUGUCAGUGAGUUUGAGCUCUCAGGCUGGUUUAACUGUAGAAGCAGAACCUGGUGAUGAUGUCACUCUCUGGUGUAAACACAGCCUGAUUAAAUCAAAUUAUUUAUUCUGGUACAAGCACACAUGGAGUUCUGUACCAGAUCGUGUUGCUUGCAAAUAUUACUCAUUAUCCUCCUCUAACACCUGUUUCUUCAUCCCUGAGAGUAACAGGUCAGUGAUGAGAGUGAACUCCACGUUCUCCUCUCUCACUAUAACUGCAGUUAAUCUCUCUGACUCAGGACUCUAUUACUGCAGCAGUGUGGAGAAUAAAGACAUCACAUUUACCACUGCAACGUACUUACAGCUCAAAGAGAGAAAGGAGCCUGUUUCUGAUGAUCCAGAAAAGUCUAAAGAAGAAUCCCACUCUCCUCCUGAUGUGUUCUCCAUGCUGACUCUCGUGUUUGGAGCUGUGAUUGCGGUUCUGCUCAGUGCUCUUCUCAUAAUGAUCUUCAUCAGACAGAGUGAUCGUAAAGAUCUGAGAGAGCAGCAGAGAGACGGUAAAGUACCGCACUUCCAGUAGAAGUGCUGACUUUCUCGUGGUGGAUCCAUAUGUUCAGUGUUACUACAAAGAGGC